AUUUUAUUGUUUCUAUGCGGGACUGGACCUAUAUUCCCUCCACGAACAAAAUAAUCUCAGCACUCGAUACCCUCGACAUAGAUAAGAGUCAGUCUGUCAUUUUGUCAGCUGAUUACAUCUUCAGAGACGAUGCCGAAACAUGACCUGACGUAGAACUGUUUCAUUUGUACCGUGGAAGAUAUUAUGAAAGUGUCAUGAGAAUGAAGCGACACUUUGAC